UUUCUGACCACCACCGGCCUCU
rnacentral:miRNA from 1 species